GCGGGUGUGGUGGAAUUGGUAGACACGCAGGACUUAGGAUCCUGUGGCGCAAGCCGUGGGGGUUCAAGUCCCUCCACCCGCACCA
rnacentral:tRNA from 1 species